UACGUAGGGUGCAAGCGUUAAUCGGAAUUACUGGGCGUAAAGCGUGCGCAGGCGGUUUUGUAAGUCUGUCGUGAAAGCCCCGGGCUCAACCUGGGAAUUGCGAUGGAGACUGCAAGGCUUGAAUCUGGCAGAGGGGGGGGUAGAAUUCCACGUGUAGCAGUGAAAUGCGUAGAGAUGUGGAGGAAUACCGAUGGCGAAGGCAGCCUCCUGGGCCAACACUGACGCUCAUGCACGAAAGCGUGGGGAGCAAACAGG
rnacentral:rRNA from 1 species